rnacentral:rRNA from 1 species
AAUCAACGCUGGCGGCGUGCCUCAGACAUGCAAGUCGAACGAUUAAAGCUCUCUUCGGAGAGUGCAUAGAGUGGCGCACGGGUGAGUAACACGUAAGUAAUCUACCUUCGAGUGGGGAAUAACGUCCGGAAACGGACGCUAAUACCGCAUAAUGCAGCGGCAUCGUAAGAUGACAGUUGUUAAAGAUUUAUCGCUUGAAGAGGAGCUUGCGGCAGAUUAGCUAGUUGGUAAGGUAAUGGCUUACCAAGGCUACGAUCUGUAACCGGUCUUAGAGGACGGUCGGUCACACUGACACUGAAUAACGGGUCAGACUCCUACGGGAGGCAGCAGUCGGGAAUUUUGGGCAAUGGGCGAAAGCCUGACCCAGCAACGCCGCGUGAAGGAUGAAGUAUUUCGGUAUGUAAACUUCGAAAGAAUAGGAAGAAUAAAUGACGGUACCGGAAGAAUAAGCCCCGGCUAACUUCGUGCCAGCAGCCGCGGUAAGU